rnacentral:rRNA from 1 species
AUUGAACGCUGGCGGCAUGCUUUACACAUGCAAGUCGAACGGUAACAGGCCUUCGGGUGCUGACGAGUGGCGAACGGGUGCGUAAUGCAUCGGAACGUACCCAGAGGUGGGGGAUAACGCAGCGAAAGCUGUGCUAAUACCGCAUGUGAUCUGAGGAUGAAAGCGGGGGACCGAGCAGCAAUGUUUGGCCUCGCGCCUUUGGAGCGGCCGAUGUCGGAUUAGCUAGGUGGUGGGGUAAAGGCCUACCAAGGCGACGAUCCGUAGCUGGUCUGAGAGGACGACCAGCCACACGGGGACUGAGACACGGCCCAGACUCCUACGGGAGGCAGCAGUGGGGAAUUUUGGACAAUGGGCGCAAGCCUGAUCCAGCAAUGCCGCGUGCGGGAAGAAGGCCUUCGGGUUGUAAAACGCUUUUGGCAGGAACGAAACGGUGUCCGCUAAUACCGGGCGCUAAUGACGGUACCUGCAGAAUAAGCACCGGCUAACUACGUG